GCAGUCGUGGCCGAGUGGUUAAAGCGAUAGACUAGAAAUCCAUUGGGGUCUCCCCGCAUAAGCUCGAAUCCUGUCGGCUGCG
rnacentral:tRNA from 1 species